CAUGUGAGCAGUGUUGAUGUUUGUGUUCUUCCGAUCGUUUGAUAUAGUUUUUACAUUUUAUACCAAAAUAUUAUGAGUUUUUCAUUAUAUUUUGAUAUUAAACUGCAAAUAUCAUCACUAUUUGAUUAAAUCCACAUAGAAAAUGACGUAUGAAACGCACUUCCAUCCAACUCUAUUCGUGAGAAAUUUUACGACUCCUUCCAGUUACAAUAAUUCUGAUUGUGAUGAUUCAACUAGAUUGAUUCUAGAAAAUGAUUACGCCGCAUAUGCCUUCCAGUGAAUUUGAAAUUAUAUUGUUGAAUGUGUGACGGCGAAUAUCGCAUAGUUGAAGUACUCAUCCAAAGACAGCCGAGCUGAAUUAUUUGGAUGUUGGGAUGGUCUGAUUAUGUUUGGAAAGAAUGAUUGAGAGCGUAUCAAGGCGAGCAUUAGGCGGCUCCAGUGGAACCUACAAUGUCCGCGCCUCAGAGCUGGCUCGAGAUAGGCUUAAAACCCUCACGGCUACCGUAUUCUUCCUGGAUGACACACAGCAUACGUUUCAGCUUGAGGUCAGU